UCAAAAUGGGCCAAAAUAUCAGCCAAAACACAACUAAAAAAAUUUCUCCCUAAAACCAGCUCAAAUCCCACCCCAAACGGGCAGAAAAAGGAGGUGCAAACAGCUACAAAUCUGGACCUCCUCAACCCAAAAAGAAAACUGAAAAUAGCCAUGAAAAAGCCACCCACCUCCAGCUCGUUUUCAGCCAUGAAAAGCUGAAAUUUCAGCUCGAAAAUGGCAGCCAAAAACGCUAUUAAAAACAACCAAAAAAAAAACUUGAAAACUGUCCAUAAACCAGCCCUUAAACCAUCUCAAAAACAGCUGCAAAAAGUCCAAAAAUAGUCCGAAAAUCAGCCCCAAAAUAUCCCUGAAAUUACCCCUGAAAAGCCAUGAAAAUCGUCCCUAAACCACUAACCAAAAUCAGCUGAAGGUCACUCCAAAAACCAGCUAAAAUAACUCCACAAAUCAGCGCAAAACACCGUUAACCACCUCCCAUUUCUAUCACUUCAGUCCAUCGGCGGAGUGGUCAUGUCCGGUUCGAGGCUUCCGAUUGGGAUCCGAUUGACAGUAACUAGUUUCUGUUUCUAAGAAGGUUCACUUUGAGAUUUACUUCUUUCAUUUUAUUUUGUUCUUUUAUUAUGUUUAUGAAUACAUCUUUUUGUGAAAUCUAUGUGAACGAGGUGUGUUUUCUUACUGUUUGUUUUGUUCUGAUUUAGUUGUUAAGUUUCAUUAUUAGUUUAGUUAGUAAAUUUCUUAUCCAUGUGAUUAAGUCCUUUAACUCAAGGUAGUAUGUCAAAAUAUUACGUGAUUCGUCUAAAAAAUAAUUCUAUAUUUUAAUAAUUAAAGGCGGAUAGAUAAAAUAUGAAAAAAAAUUAAAAAAAAUAAAGCACAAUUUAUCCAAAAAAUUAAUUCAAGCCAAGUUGUAGUCAAUAAAGCGACCGUGCUAGAACUACGGAACUCGGGGAAUGCCUUACACCUUCUCCCCGGUCAACAGAAUUCCUUACCCGAACUUUAUUUUCGCAGACCAAUAAUAAUAGAGUCAAACCUUCCUUUGACUAGGGAUUCAAAUAAAAGGUGACUUGAAACACCCCAAAACUCAAUUUCAAGUGGCGACUCUG
rnacentral:lncRNA from 1 species